rnacentral:rRNA from 1 species
UACGGGGGGGGCGAGCGUUGUUCGGAAUUACUGGGCGUAAAGGGUGCGUAGGCGGCUUUUUAAGUUUGGUGUGAAAUCUCCCGGCUCAACUGGGAGGGUGCGCCGAAUACUGAGAGGCUAGAGUGUGGGAGAGGAAAGUGGAAUUCCUGGUGUAGCGGUGAAAUGCGUAGAUAUCAGGAGGAACACCGGUGGUGUAAACGGCUUUCUGGACCAUAACUGACGCUGAUGCACGAAAGCGUGGGUAGCAAACAGG